GCGUCUCGCUGUUCGCGGGCGAUCGACGAGGCAACCGUGCCCGCGCGGCACCAGCGCCGAAUGCUCCCCUAGCGUGCCGAUGGAAGUUCCCAAGGUCGUCGCUGCGAUAGCGCGCGCCCGUGCUCUGUACGGCGGGAGCGCUCGUGCGCGUUGUUUUUGCGAUGCCGAGUGCGACCUCAUCAGGCAGGAAAGGUGACACGCAGUACUGCUCUGUUGUAGACUGCCACAGCAGCCCCGAAAACACGAAAGGUCGCACGCCGCCCGUCAAGUCCUACAGAUUUCCGGGGAAGUGGUACGAGAAGGACAGACGACAAGCAUAGGUAACUGCAGUGUGCCGAGUCAAUGCUGACGACAUUCCCUGGGACCCAUCAAAAAGCACGCAAAUUUGCAGCACCCAUUUCGUUGGCAAGGGUGACCUAAGUGAGCAUCCAUCAUACAUCCCUACCAUCUUCCCACCUGUAUACAGAAAGAAAGCACCAGGUCGAGAGAGGGAGAAUAGAUGGGAGCGGCGUCUAACAGGCCAACGGCAAUCACAGCAGUCUUCUCAGCAGUCAGCACCACCGAGAUAUGUGCUUUCGUACUGCAGCGACACAGCUCUUGAGCAGCAGCAAGGCACAUGUGAACAUGCCUUUCUGAAGUGACGGAACCGUCAACAAGCAGCCCAAGGGAUCUGCAGUCAUCGAGUAGUAUGACAACAGAAGUUUCUGCUGCCAGAGUGACUUAUGUUGCAAUUAAAAGAAAUGUGGCUAAAUUUCUGAA